AGAGUUUGAUCCUGGCUCAGGACGAACGCUGGCGGCGUGCUUAACACAUGCAAGUCGAACGGUAAGGCCCCAGCUUGCUGGGGUACACGAGUGGCGAACGGGUGAGUAACACGUGGGUGACCUGCCCCGCACUUCGGGAUAAGCCUGGGAAACUGGGUCUAAUACCGGAUAGGACCGCACCGUGAGGGUGUGGUGGAAAGUUUUUCGGUGUGGGAUGGGCCCGCGGCCUAUCAGCUUGUUGGUGGGGUAAUGGCCUACCAAGGCGGCGACGGGUAGCCGGCCUGAGAGGGUGGACGGCCACAUUGGGACUGAGACACGGCCCAGACUCCUACGGGAGGCAGCAGUGGGGAAUAUUGCACAAUGGGCGGAAGCCUGAUGCAGCGACGCCGCGUGGGGGAUGACGGCCUUCGGGUUGUAAACUCCUUUCACCAUCGACGAAGGUUUUCUGACGGUAGAUGGAGAAGAAGCACCGGCUAACUACGUGCCAGCAGCCGCGGUAAUACGUAGGGUGCGAGCGUUGUCCGGAAUUACUGGGCGUAAAGAGCUCGUAGGUGGUUUGUCGCGUCGUCUGUGAAAUUCCGGGGCUUAACUCCGGGCGUGCAGGCGAUACGGGCAUAACUUGAGUACUGUAGGGGAGACUGGAAUUCCUGGUGUAGCGGUGAAAUGCGCAGAUAUCAGGAGGAACACCGGUGGCGAAGGCGGGUCUCUGGGCAGUAACUGACGCUGAGGAGCGAAAGCAUGGGUAGCGAACAGGAUUAGAUACCCUGGUAGUCCAUGCCGUAAACGGUGGGCGCUAGGUGUAGGGGUCUUCCACGACUUCUGUGCCGUAGCUAACGCAUUAAGCGCCCGCCUGGGGAGUACGGCCGCAAGGCUAAAACUCAAGGAAUUGACGGGGGCC
rnacentral:rRNA from 1 species